rnacentral:lncRNA from 1 species
ACCAUCGAAUCAUGGUGGUUUGAAUGGUGAAUAAAAACAAUGAUUGGGGAUUUCCCAAGGGAGAAGUAGAUUUUGCACCGGAGGAAGUCAUCUGGGUAGUUGCACAAAACGAUCUAAUUGGAAGAAAAUUUCUGAUAAAAUCAACACAAAAAAAAAAAAAACCUCCAGAAAUUGAAACAAGGCACUGAUACUAUGAAAGAAAUUAAAUAUGAAAACCAAAGGAAAUAAAGUCGCAG